CUACCAACUCUACGCACUAAGCCUAUAUUUUUCAAUAAACAAGUCCCGUUCACGGAGGCGUCCUUGGUUGCGUGGUAAAUUGACUUCCGGUAGAUUUUUUUUUACGUAUAAAGAAACCAUUCUCGAAGAUUUUUACCAUCACUUUUACAGCAAAUCAUGAAUGGAAACUGAAUUGUUAAAGAAGAUGUUACAGAGGAGCAUACUACUUCCAAAAACCUGAUUGGAUUGUCACUAACUUUCAAAUUGAAAGGGAUCUACUACAACUGCUCAUGAAUUUCGAGAUUUUACAGCUAAUAGAGGAACAAAUUUUAUCUGCUUCCACUUAGACAAACAGCAUGGAAAUAUGCUAUUGUAAUGAGUAGAAGAUAUUUGUCAUUUAGAGUAUCAUGCAACAGCUAAUUAUC